rnacentral:rRNA from 1 species
AGAACGAACGCUGGCGGCAGGCCUAAUACAUGCAAGUCGAGCGCCCAGCAAUGGGAGCGGCGGACGGGUGAGCAACACGUGGGAACAUGCCCUUCGGUACGGAACAACUCAGGGAAACUUGAGCUAAUACCGCAUACGCCCCGCAAGGGGGAAAGAUUUAUCGCCGAAGGAUUGGCCCGCGUCCGAUUAGCUAGUUGGUGAGGUAAAAGCCCACCAAGGCACCGAUCGGUAGCUGGUUUGAGAGAACGACCAGCCACACUGGGACUGAGACACGGCCCAGACUCCUACGGGAGGCAGCAGUAGGGAAUCUUGGACAAUGGGGGAACCCUGAUCCAGCCAUGCCGCGUGGAUGAUGAAGGCCUUAGGGUUGUAAAGUCCUUUUAACGGGGAAGAUAAUGACGGUACCCGUAGAAUAAGCCCGGCUAACUUCGUGCCAGCAGCCGC